rnacentral:rRNA from 1 species
ACAGCAGCAGCCGCGGGAAUACAGAGGGUGCGAGCGUUAAUCGGAUUUACUGGGCGUAAAGCGUGCGUAGGCGGCUUCUUAAGUCGGAUGUGAAAUCCCUGAGCUUAACUUAGGAAUUGCAUUCGAUACUGGGAAGCUAGAGUAUGGGAGAGGAUGGUAGAAUUCCAGGUGUAGCGGUGAAAUGCGUAGAGAUCUGGAGGAAUACCGAUGGCGAAGGCAGCCAUCUGGCCUAACACUGACGCUGAGGUACGAAAGCAUGGGGAGCAAACAGGAUUAGAUACCCCCGUAGUCCCUGUCUCUUAUAC